CCGGACCGGCGACACGGUGAGUAACACGUAUGCAACCUGGCCGUCACAGGUGGAUAACCGGAAGAAAUUCCGACUAAUACAGCAUAACACUCCUGAGGGACAUCCUUCGGGAGUCAAAGGAGGCAACUCCGGUGACGGAUGGGCAUGCGGCGCAUUAGGUAGUUGGUAGGGUAACGGCCUACCAAGCCGACGAUGCGUAGGGGUUCUGAGAGGAAGGUCCCCCACAUUGGAACUGAGACACGGUCCAAACUCCUACGGAAGGCAGCAG
rnacentral:rRNA from 1 species